rnacentral:lncRNA from 1 species
UUGAAUUUCCUCUUGCCUCCAUUUUAGUCCCUAAAAGAUAAAAGACCACAAAAUAAUCCAAAUUAGUAGGAUCAUACUCAAAAUAAUCAUGCAAUUAGCACAUAAAAUAUGUCGUUCUAGAGUAUUAUCAGCACAUAUGACUCCCAAGAUCGACAUACCCUAUUAAGCAUCAAAAUAUGAAUUUAAAAGGACCAGGAGUAUAUAAUUCACAAUUAAUGUCAUAUAAUCACCUAAAAAUGCACUAAGAAUGAGGCUAAAAUAUGUUACUUUUGACACUUAUCAAAUUCUAUAUUAUGUCUAGAUUUAGAGGCAAAUUCAAAUAAUUUUUGAGGACCGAAAUUGGAUUAUAAACUUUUGAGAAGUUAAAAUAUAUAAUUUUAUCAUAUAUCAUACUUUUAAAUUUCAUAAAUUUUAGGAGAUUAAUCAAAUAUUUUUUAUUUGUAAGGUCAAAGUAUCAUUCCAUUAUAUAUUAAAAUAUAAUUUUAUAUUUUAAAAAGAUUGAAUCGCAGUUCUUCCUAUAUUAUAUAGCAUGUACAUAUCUAUAAAGAAUUUAAACAAUAUGCCCAUCUAUCUUAAUUAUGACGUGAAUUAUUCUUUAAAAAGAUUGGUUAGUUUUAAAAAGAUGAUUUUUUCUUCCCUUUAGUGACAAAACAACAUCAUUAUCAUGUAACGUGAAACUAAGGAUCAAUUUUGCUUGUAGAAUAGUAAAGUGAAGUGGAUUUAUCUUUCCAUUUUUCCAUGGAAAAUACAAACUCAAGAUUUCUAAACAAAUAUUAGCUAGGCUAAUUACUUAAAUAUUCUUACAUUUUCUCAUAUUAGUAUUGCAUUGCACUUAAUGUUUGGUGAGAAGAAUAUUCUAGGGAUAAUGGUGUAAAUAUCAGGGGUUUAUCUAUACAAAUAUAGAUUAAAAUUUGGUGAUUUUUUGGCUUAGUAUUUCGUCUUUUAUGUUUUAAUUUUGGGUGGUUUGUUUGUAUUCAACGUGUCUCUUGCUUGGGGUUUUUGCUCCUUGUUGGUGUGGCUUUUAUUUGGUCUGUUAUUGUAGGAUGAUUUGUGUUGGUUGAGGUUAUCCUAUGAUACGGAUUAAGGUGCUUGUAGGAGUAUUGGGUUUUGUGAUUGGGGGUUGUUAUGGGAUCGUGUGUAGGUGCUCCUUGUUAGACGCUUCUUUGUAUUUAGGCAAUGCUGCUUAUAUUUAGCAAUAUAAUAAUUAUGUUAAUUCAACCUUAGUUCAAUUGAUACCUCUAAUAUUAUAAUAAUUAAAAAUAUGUAAGUUUGAAUGUACUUGAAUAUGUUUUUCUUUCGAUUUAAAAAUUAUAAUAAAAUUAAUAUAAUAACUACCCUCAACGAAGAAGUAACAUUUUGCAUCUAUUCAAUAAUUGGGUACAUGUAUGCCCCAAGUUAAAUGGGUCCAAUAAUUUGCCUACAUGUGCGACCCAAGUUAAUUGGGUCAAAAAAAAAAGUAAUAAGGGAAGACUGGAAAUCACCAUUGCUAUUCGGUUCCCUAUACUUUAUAGUCUUACUCUUACAUUUAGCCACAAAUUUUGUUGACAAAAUUAGCAAUAUGAAUGGACUUUUCCUAUCAUUGUCAUUUUGUAGUCCUACACAUCCACAUCUUUCAUGACAAAAUUUUCCCAUUCAAUCCCUUUUGGGAAGAGGUGGAGAUUUUAAUUUAAUUUGUUUUACUUCAAUAUUUUCCAAAUUAAGUUUCAACAUGGAUUGAUUUGAAACAUCAACCAUUCAAGAAAUAUGGAUUUGCAUGUAUGCAUCCAGAAAACGAAAUUUGAUUCCAACUAAGCUAUUACUAUUCUUGUUGAAUACUAAAAACAUUACAAUUAUAGGAUUAGUAAUAAAAUAUAAAACAUCUACUAUAGCUUCCAGUUUACUCUUAAAUGAAGAAAAAGCCAUGCCUUUUAUUUAAUUUUUUUUUUCUAAUGCCACCAUGCAAACUUUCUACUUGUAAUGUCCUAAAAUUUUAGUUUUUAAAUUGUUAAAAUUUGUUAAAAUGAAUUGAUUUGGUUUAGUGGUUAAAUAUUAUAUUUGUGUGUAAGAGAUUUUGUGUUCAAAUCUUUUUCUUUUAAAUUUUGUUAUUUUUUGCCCAAUCUUUAAUUUUAGAUAUUAGAAUUAUAUAUUAUUUUCACUUAACUAAUGAUAGAAUGAGCCUGUUGGUUUAAUGAUAAAGUUUUACCUUAUCUAGAGAUUUUACGUUUGAAUCCUAAUGUGUGCAAAAUAGAAUUAUUUUUGUUAUUUUUAGUCAGUGCUGCCCAUGUGGCCAUGUGGUGGAAGUUGGGUGGAAUUCAACUUCUAAGGGAGAAAUUUGAUAGCGUUAAUGUAUCUGAUUUAGUGGGGAAAGUAGAUGGUUUUUAAUUUUUUUUUUUUUAAAUUCCUAAAUUUUUUUCCCCCAAAAUUCUCAUUCUACCGUCCACUAUUCCCCUCUUCUCAUGUCUAUUUUCUUUUCUUUUCUUUCUCAUUUUUCUCUCACGUUGUUUUUCUUUUUCCCUUGCCUUCCUCCUUUUGUUUUGCUACAGUAAAGAGAAGAAACUAACCUUUUGUUGAUUAUUCCUUGCUCUUCCUCAAGAUUUUUCUUAUUCGUCUAUGUUCCUUUGAUUCUUCAUUGAUACUUUUAUUCUGUGGUGUUGUUCGUAACUUUUAUUGUGGUGUCAUUGGUGCAUUUUGUGGAGGUUCGAUAAGGUUUCGUUUCGUUGUGGUAAAUCACUGAUUGUGUUUAGGAAGUAAUUUUUGGGUUGACUGUUUUGGAACUGUUGGGAGAAUAUCGUGAAAUGAGCAUUUUGCCGUCGAAAAACUAAGGGUUUUGGAACUGCAGUUAUUGUUUGGGUAUGUAAAGGAAUGCCAAGGGGCUGAUUAUUUUCGGCUUGUUAAGGCUUUGUGUUAACUAUUGUGACCAUAUUGGGGUUUUAGAGUUUAGUUAUUCGUUUCUAAAAUUAUUCGUUUUCAAUUUAGGUACUAGAAUACUCACUGUAGUGUUAGCAUCAAAAACUGACUAGGUAUGUAAUGAAAAACCCGAAAAAACAGCCAAAAACAUGACGUAGAAAAGUGGAAUGUCGAUGUCACAUGACAGUGUGCCAAUCUGUGUGAGCCAUACAACUGUGUGACAAGCUGUGUGCCAAAUCGUGUGGAUCACAUGAGUUGGGUCAAUUAGGCUGUAUGGGUCACACGGGCAUGUGAGCCCAUUUUCUGAAAAAUUUACCUAUGGUCUUAUUGGUGUGUGAUUCGUAUUUAGUCACUCUAUAGGAUCUUCAUUGUAUAAAUAAGACUUGAAAACAUGAAAUAUGAUAUUAUGCUACUGUAUGUAAUGUGGAUAAUGUAUGUGAAAUAUGUAUAUGAUCUGUCAUCAGAUAAUUCUGUUAACAUGUUUUGACGGGGAAAACAUGUAUGAUAUAUAUG